CUAGCGGCAGGCCUAACACAUGCAAGUCGAGGGAGAAGCCCUUUCGGGGCAGAAACCGGCGCACGGGUGCGUAACGCGUAUGCAACCUACCUUUCACAGGGGGAUAGCCCGAAGAAAUUUGGAUUAAUACCCCAUAAUAUUAUUGGAUGGCAUCAUUUGAUAAUUAAAAUUACGAUGGUGAAAGAUGGGCAUGCGUCCUAUUAGCUAGUUGGAGUGGUAACGGCACCCCAAGGCUACGAUAGGUAGGGGUCCUGAGAGGGAGAUCCCCCACACUGGUACUGAGACAGGGACCAGACUCCUACGGGAGGCAGCAGUGAGGAAUAUUGGUCAAUGGUCGGAAGACUGAACCAGCCAUGCCGCGUGCAGGAAGAAUGCCUUAUGGGUUGUAAACUGCUUUUAUAUGGGAAGAAUAAGGAGUACGU
rnacentral:rRNA from 1 species